rnacentral:rRNA from 1 species
CCUACGGGUGGCAGCAGUGAGGAAUAUUGGUCAAUGGGCGGGAGCCUGAACCAGCCAAGUCGCGUGAGGGAAGACGGUCCUAUGGAUUGUAAACCUCUUUAGGCGGGGAGCAAUGCCGGGCACGCGUGCCCGGAGGGAGAGUACCCGCAGAAUAAGCAUCGGCUAACUCCGUGCCAGCAGCCGCGGUAAUACGGAGGAUGCGAGCGUUAUCGGGAUUUAUUGGGUUUAAAGGGUGCGUAGGCGGAUUUUUAAGUCAGCGGUAAAAUGUCCGGGCUCAACCCGGGCCGGCCGUUGAAACUGGGGAUCUUGAGUGGGCGAGAAGUAUGCGGAAUGCGCGGUGUAGCGGUGAAAUGCGUAGAUAUCGCGCAGAACCCCGAUUGCGAAGGCAGCGUACCGGCUCCACACUGACGCUGAGGCACGAAAGCGUGGGUAUCGAACAGGAUUAGAUACCCCAGUAGUC